UUUGCCUUUCACGCCAAACGGCAAAACCAGAAAACCGAAUGAACAACAAACAGCACGAGACUUUAGCACACGAAAGUGAAACACAAUUUAAGCAAACGUCUGCUGACUGUGUGUGUCAGUAUUUUGCAUGUGUAAGCGUAUGUGUAUCAUGGGAAAAGAUAACACACAAAGUUGCACGAGACAAUUGACGCUGCUGCUGCUUUCAAAUGAUAAGAGAAUGCUUGCUGCAUAUGCAACUGAUAACGCAUAAUGCUGUUUGUCUUAUCAGAGAAACGAAAGCACGUGUUGCCCCUGCCAUGCAAGUUAUUAACCUCAACCGCUGCACCGAAUGAAAAACAAUAAACUGAGAUUAGAUCAACUUACCCGCUUCUCAGCGCUGUCGCAUGGAUUGCCAACCGACGAAGACGAUGAGGAGGAUGUGGAUGUGGAUGUAGUUGCCGCUGUGCUGGGUAAAUGAUUUUGUGGCAAGACGGACACAUCCGAUGCCACCGAAUCCAAUUGUUCCUGCUUAAUGCCCGC